rnacentral:rRNA from 1 species
AGCAUGUGCGCGAGUCAUUGGGACAAACCUAAAGGCGAAAUGAAAGUGAAGGUCCGCCUAGGACCUAGGGAGGAUGGGCCCGCCCUCGGGCCCCGCACUCCCGGGGCGUCUCGUUCUCACAGCGAGAGGAGGCGCACCCAGAGCGUACACGCUGGGACCCGAAAGAUGGUGAACUAUGCCUGGUCAGGACGAAGUCAGGGGAAACCCUGAUGGAGGUCCGUAGCGAUUCUGACGUGCAAAUCGAUCGUCGGAACUGGGUAUAGGGGCGAAAGACUAAUCGAACCAUCUAGUAGCUGGUUCCCUCCGAAGUUUCCCUCAGGAUAGCUGGCGCUCGCCGCGCGCGAGUCUCAUCCGGUAAAGCGAAUGAUUAGAGGCAUUGGGGUCGAAACGGCCUCAACCUAUUCUCAAACUUUAAAUGGGUGAGAUCUCCGGCUUGCUCGAACCGUGAAGCCGCGAGAUUUCGGAUCAGAGUGCCAAGUGGGCCACUUUUG